AACGAACGCUGGCGGCAUGCCUAAUACAUGCAAGUCGAGCGGCAGCGAGAUGUGUAGCAAUACACAUUGUCGGCGAGCGGCGGACGGGUGAGGAACACGUAGGAACUUGCCUUCUAGAGGGGGAUAACUAAGGGAAACUUUAGCUAAUACCGCGUAAUCUCGAGAGAGUAAAGCUGCCCGCAAGGGUGGCGCUAGAAGAGAGGCCUGCGUCCGAUUAGCUAGUUGGUGAGGUAAAGGCUCUCCAAGGCGAUGAUCGGUAACUGGUCUGAGAGGACGACCAGUCACACUGGGACUGAGACACGGCCCAGACUCCUACGGGAGGCAGCAGUGGGGAAUAUUGGACAAUGGGGGCAACCCUGAUCCAGCGAUGCCGCGUGGGUGAAGAAGGCCUUCGGGUUGUAAAGCCCUUUAGGUUGGGAAGAAGUAAUGGGUGUUAAUACCACCUGUUAUUGACGGUACCGACAGAAUAAGCACCGGCAAACUCUGUGCCAGCAGCCGCCGUAA
rnacentral:rRNA from 1 species